rnacentral:rRNA from 1 species
CACUGUGGAAUUCGCCCUUAUUCCGCGGCUGCUGGCACGGAGUUAGCCGGUGCUUCUUCUGCGGGUAACGUCAAUCGACGCGGUUAUUAACCGCACCGCCUUCCUCCCCGCUGAAAGUACUUUACAACCCGAAGGCCUUCUUCAUACACGCGGCAUGGCUGCAUCAGGCUUGCGCCCAUUGUGCAAUAUUCCCCACUGCUGCCUCCCGUAGGAGUCUGGACCGUGUCUCAGUUCCAGUGUGACUGAUCAUCCUCUCAGACCAGUUACGGAUCGUCGCCUUGGUGAGCCAUUACCUCACCAACUAGCUAAUCCGACCUAGGCUCAUCUGAUAGCGCAAGGCCCGAAGGUCCCCUGCUUUCUCCCGUAGGACGUAUGCGGUAUUAGCGUUCCUUUCGAAACGUUGUCCCCCACUACCAGGCAGAUUCCUAGGCAUUACUCACCCGUCCGCCGCUGAAUCAGGAAGCAAGCUUCCUUCAACCGCUCGACUUGCAUGUGUUAGGCCUGCCGCCAGCGUUCAAUCUGAGCCAGGAUCAAACUCU